ensembl:lncRNA LINC01394 long intergenic non-protein coding RNA 1394
UGGGCACAGAGGUUGCCAAAAGGGCCAGUAGGAGGAGAAGGCUUCAUGGAGGACGGGGGCAAGAGCGGGCCGACCAUGCUGGCUUCCUCGCCUUGUGUCUGGCUGACUGCACAGGCCUGAGGAGGCUGUGUGUAAGUUGGCAAAUGACAGGAAGAGCAUGUGCUUCUAAUCACCCACCCAUCUUAAUAACGUCGAACAGAUACAGUGCAGAAACUAUUGCACAACCACCAGCAUUUCAUUACAUCAGAAUCCUUGCCAAUUUGAAAGAGGUCCUUGAAUCCAGGGAGAGUUACAUCUUUACGUUUUUGAUCACGAUCCUCUUGGAAGAUACUUAUUAGGGCCAUUUGUUGAUGACAAUAUUAAGAAUUAGCAAAUAUCUUCUUAAAUAUAACAAAAAUUGAAUUGUUUCAUUA